UGAAGAACAAAGAAUGCUCACCAGGUGUUCACGCUCCCCAGAACUAAACCGUUUUUUUGUGUUCCAUUAAAUGAUUUGUUAUAAGUGGUUUUCUAAAUGAUUUACUACUAAUGCUAACCGGCUAGCUAACAUAAGCUUUAUGAGACGUCCUCUCAGAUAUUCCUCUCAGAAAUCCUGUCAGGUUAGCUCAUGCUAACCCAAAGCCCUGAUUACUUAGCUUCUUCUGCCCAGGGUGUCACUGAUCAUGUUCUCUAUUCGCGAUACGGACCAGUGGGUCGUCAGAUCCCUUCUCAGUGUGUGUGUGUGUGUGUGUGUGUGUGUGUGUGUGUGUGUUUUUUAAAUGUCAGCAAGACCUGAUUGUUAGACACAGUGACUCUCCUGCAUCAUUAGGUAACACAGUACACCAGUACUCAAACACACUCACACACUUUCCUCACAAAUAUUUGUGAUUUAAACUUUGAUUCUAAACUAUGACUUUUAACUAGCAUGCUAAUUAUCAUAUACGUCUUGCUACAGCGAUAACUUCCACAGCGCUGCUGAAUUCUGGAUUCUGAUUGGUCCGAAGGCGUUGAUUCAUUUUCUAUAACGGCAGCUCUGACAGUAGCACAGCUCCAAAUCACAGGUUUAUGUUAAUUGUCAGAGCCAUAUCGACGUGUAGUUCUCAUCUGGUGUCUCAUUGAAUCCUGGCCAGUACCUGGAUGGGAAACCUCCUGGGGAAAACUAAGGUCGCUGCUGGAAGUGGUAUUAGUGAGGCCAGCAGGGGGCACUGACCCUGUGGUCUGUGGGACAGGGACACUAUACUGUAAAAACAGCACCGUCUUUCGGAUGAGACGUUAAAACCGAGGUCCUGACUCUCUGUGGUCAUGAAAAAUCCCAGGACAUUUCUCGUAAAGAGUAGGAGUAUAACCCCUUACAAUCUCCAUCCCUGAAUUGGCUACUCUCCUCUCCACCAAUAGCUGGUGUGUGGUGGGCGUUCUGGCGCACUAUGGCUCCCGUUGCUCCAUCCAGGUGGAUUCUAGACACUGGUGGUGGUUGAGGAGAUCCCCCCACACACACCAUACACACCGUGUAAAGCGCCUAGAGUGUCUAGAAAAGCUCUGUAUAAAUGUAACUGUAAUGCGCUCGUUCUAACAUCGUCAUCGUUUCCAUAGUAACAGAUAUGCUUUAGUAUAGUACGCUUUCUCGGUAACAUGACAAGCUGGAAUUUUCAUUUGCCUUAUUAACUUCCAAGAGCGAGAGACGAGGGGGCGACUCUUUAUAGCCACUAUAACGCAAGUUAUACCGUUAAAUGCAACAAUAAAUGGAUAAGAGGUCUCGUAAGUAAGACAUUUUAUGAAAUUUCCUGUCAGAUUUGUUUAUGUUAGCCACCGAACUAGCAUUAGCGGUAAGGAUCGCAGACAUUUAGAACUGUAGCUUUAAAAAGUUACCUCAGGUUAGCUCAUUUUAGCUAGCUGGCUGCUUUCAGCUGAUGUUUCAG
ensembl:lncRNA